UACGGAAGGCAGCAGUGGGGAAUAUUGCACAAUGGGCGCAAGCCUGAUGCAGCCAUGCCGCGUGUAUGAAGAAGGCCUUCGGGUUGUAAAGUACUUUCAGUCGUGAGGAAGGUGUUAAGGUUAAUAACCUUAGCAAUUGACGUUAGCGACAGAAGAAGCACCGGCUAACUCCGUGCCAGCAGCCGCGGUAAUACGGAGGGUGCGAGCGUUAAUCGGAAUUACUGGGCGUAAAGGGCACGCAGGCGGUUAAUUAAGUUGGAUGUGAAAUCCCCGGGCUUAACCUGGGAAUGGCAUUCAAGACUGGUUAGCUAGAGUCUUGUAGAGGGGGUAGAAUUCCAUGUGUAGCGGUGAAAUGCGUAGAGAUGUGGAGGAAUACCGGUGGCGAAGGCGGGCCCCUGGGACAAAGGACUGACGCUCAUGUGCGAAAGCGUGGGGAGCAAACGAGGGAUUAGAUACC
rnacentral:rRNA from 1 species